rnacentral:lncRNA from 1 species
AGGGAGCUGUACCAAGUUAUUUUGGGUCAGAAUUCUCCUGGGAUAUCUUUUUUCUUCGCCUUUUUAAACUCGUUUAUUAUAAAAACAAUGUUACCAUAUGCAAAACUAGAAGAGUGUAAUGAAUUCCCGUGUGUCCAUCAUCUAUCUUUAACAGAAGUACAGUCUAUAUAAAGACUGUCCAGGACAAAAACUGGCCACUCCAUUCAGCAUUGACAGCAGUAUUUAAAGCUGGUGCAUGGUGAGGUGAAGUUUCUCAAGGGCAAAGACAAUGCCUUCAUGCAUGUUCAGUGUCUGCCCCCGUGGGCUUUGAAAUGAUCGCUGACAAUGGGGGAUCUGCAGUGACUUCUCUGCCUCUGCCAAAGCCCAGGGGUGCUGCUCCCUAAUUCUAAGGAUUCUAAUGAGACUCAGAGCAGGUGUAACACAGGGCAUGGAGCUUCCUGAGCAAGAGGCUGGCUAACAAACUGUGGACGUGGUACUUAGACACAUUAAGAGACAUUACAGGGACACCUGCAAGUAUGUCUCCCUGGGGAGAAGCCAAGUGCAGAUGCUAUGGCCACAGAUGAUAUGGUUUGGCUCUGUGUCCCCACUCAAAUCUCAUCUCAAGUUGUAAUCCCUGGAUGUCGAGGGAGGGACCUGGUG